UACGUAGGGGGCAAGCGUUGUCCGGAAUCAUUGGGCGUAAAGAGCGCGUAGGCGGCCCUGUAAGUCCGCUGUGAAAGUCAAGGGCUCAACCCUUGGAUGCCGGUGGAUACUGCAGGGCUAGAGUCCGGAAGAGGCGAGUGGAAUUCCUGGUGUAGCGGUGAAAUGCGCAGAUAUCAGGAGGAACACCGAUGGCGAAGGCAGCUCGCUGGGACGGUACUGACGCUGAGGCGCGAAAGCUGGGGGAGCGAACGGG
rnacentral:rRNA from 1 species